GUGCUCACUUCCUCAGCAGAUAUACAAAAAUUGUAAUGAUACAGAGAUUAGCAUGGACCCCACACAGGGAUGUCACUGCACACUUGUGAAGCAUUCCAUAUCAAA